UACGUAGGGCGCAAGCGUUGUCCGGAAUUAUUGGGCGUAAAGAGCUCGUAGGCGGUUUGUCGCGUCUGUCGUGAAAGCUUGGGGCUUAACCCCAAGUCUGCGGUGGAUACGGGCAGACUAGAGGCAGGUAGGGGAGAACGGAAUUCCCGGUGUAGCGGUGAAAUGCGCAGAUAUCGGGAGGAACACCGGUGGCGAAGGCGGUUCUCUGGGCAUUACCUGACGCUGAGGAGCGAAAGCAUGGGGAGCGAACAGG
rnacentral:rRNA from 1 species